ACGUAGGGGGCAAGCGUUAUCCGGAUUUACUGGGUGUAAAGGGAGCGUAGACGGAUGGACAAGUCUGAUGUGAAAGGCUGGGGCUCAACCCCGGGACUGCAUUGGAAACUGCCCGUCUUGAGUGCCGGAGAGGUAAGCGGAAUUCCUAGUGUAGCGGUGAAAUGCGUAGAUAUUAGGAGGAACACCAGUGGCGAAGGCGGCUUACUGGACGGUAACUGACGUUGAGGCUCGAAAGCGUGGGGAGCAAACAGGAUUAGAUACCCUGGU
rnacentral:rRNA from 1 species